CAGACUAUGCGGCAGCGGAAACGUUAUAUGUUUACGAGGAAAGUCCGGGCAUCACAGAGCGGGAUAGCUGCUAACGGCAGCCGAAGGCGACUUUAGGGCAAGUGCAGCAGAAAUAAACCGCCCGUAUAUAACGGGUAAGGGUGGAAAGGCGAGGUAAGAGCUCACCGGAAUACAUGAGAGUGUAUUGCCGUGUAAACCCUAUCCGAUGCAACGUCUAUUGGUACUUAUGCGUCAACAUUUGCUCGAUGGAUUCAUAGGUAACGACGGCUUGAGCCUUAAGGCAACUUAAGGUCUAGAUAAAUUGCCGCACACGACAGAACCCGGCUUAUCGGUCUGGUCA
rnacentral:RNase_P_RNA from 1 species